UAUUAAUCGAAAAUUACAGUUGGUCCUCCUAUCAUAGACGGAAGUUAGCCUAACUAGCUAAUUAUCACCAAACAUGGAUUUACGAAAAUGGCUUAGACCUCCUGCUCCUCCUCAGCCAGUAGCAGACUGUGACACUCCGGCCACCACCACUAGUACAGUCAGCCACGGUCUCUGAAAGCCAAGCUGGCCCUUCUGCUAACGCAAGCUCCGGGCAACCGCAAACGGAUUUAGCCGGCGCAGCCAUAGAGCAACGACGAUCUACAAGCCCCCCAAGUCAGCGGACAGCGGUUGAUGAUCUCGGGACUGACAGGCCUGUCCAAACUGUGUUAGAGUAUCCUGUAACUCUUUACAAUGGUUGGGCCAUUGUUGGCCUUACGAUUGCCCACGAUUGGUCAGUGACCGACUUGCGACUGAUUACGACCAGAGACCCCGCUUGUUGGCUUCUGAAGCUAAAGCAGAUUCAGAAAAAUUAUCGUAAGGAGGACUUUCCGUCAAAGUAAAUUGUUGUAUAUUAUAUGUAUAUAUAUAUACAAUAUAUUUUAUAUAUAUUUUAUGUGCGGAAGGGCCAAAGUGACUCAGAACUUGCCGUAAAGCAGGACAUCUGGCAGUAUGAAAAUAUGUGACGUCAUCAGAUUUUUGGAACAGACUUUUAAGAACAGAAAAAUGCAAUAUUCAGCCGAGUGUAAUAUCUUAGCCCCCCCUUUUUAAUGCAAUUUUCUUAUUACUUGACAAAAAUUGACACCCUGAGAUAAAUCGAUUCUGAGGAUGAAACCCCAUAGACUCCCAUUCAUUCUGAACUCGCCCGCGAGCGCCCUCGCAUGGACAGAGAUGCGUUACCGCACCAGUUCAGGAUCCGGAAGUUACCAGAGAGUGCCAAUUAUCUUCCUAUUAGACAUUCUCUGACCAGACACACCUGAUGCUCAUCUUAAUCAACACUUCCUGUUUAUAUACUCCGGCUUCUCAAGCAUUCAUCGCCAGGUAACCUACGUUAGAAGCGUUCCUUCGUAUGUAUCUUUGUUCCUGUAUUCAUGAUUAUCGUCUUCUAACCCUCUGCCCCUGUCCAGACCACUAACACAGUGCUGUUCCUCCACCGCCUUCCUGGUUCCUACACCGACCCGGCUGGCCUCCUGCAUCAACCAGCCUAAUUUCCAUUGAAUAAACAUUUAAACUGCUUCAACCCUCGUCUGUGUCGUGCGUUUGGGAUCCUCCAAACUCAUGCCGUAACAGUUACUGUGAAUUAAAAGUCAUGUCUGG
ensembl:lncRNA